AUCAAGGCCAAAAAAGAGGAAUGAAUCAAAGAAAUUCAGAGUAUUUUCUGAGGGCACAUUGAUGCUGCCUUACACUCAGCGUUAACUGGACACUUAAACCAUCCCAGUCUCCUCUCCGGGGCAUUUGAGUUGUGGUUGCAUUUGUAUAAUUGCUUUUGUGUAAGAGUGAGCAAAACUUUUAAACCAGAACAGUUACUCCAAACAGUGAAACAACUUUGUUGAAAUGUAGGUGUGCUGACAUUCCCUUUAAAAUAUCCAGAGGAGCUAGCUUACAUGUUAGAAAAUGAUAAGCAGCCCAUACUGACAAGAACCUGGACUUUGGUUAUCUAUACUGUCAUUAUAUCUACCCCACCCCCCACCCCCAAUGCUUAAAACUCCUCAAAGCUGGAGAUUAAAACAUCUUUGAUGAGUAUGUCAAAGCAUUUCUGUCUUUUUUAUUAAGUGAGGCUUUGGAAGAGUUAUGAUGAACCAUAGAUCAGAAAAUAUAAUAGUAAAAUAAUAAUUAAAAAAAAAGACAGGAGAGUUUUUCUGAAAUAACAGAAGUUCAUUCAGCCUCAGUUAUAAUUAGUGAGCUUAGAGAUUUUAGCUUUUCUGACAGCCCCCUCUCUCCUGUCACAUUUUCAGCUAAAACUAAUGCAUAUCAUUACAUUUCCCCAUAGAAAGGACCUACUAAGUGCUACUAAGUGCUACUGAAAUGUACUUGUGACUAUGAUGUUAGGAUCUGCAAUGCAAUGAACGUUGUUUACCUCAGGUGGAUAUGACGUCACGGAUUUGGAAGAUCAAAACAACAACAUCCAAAUCAGCGAUUCUUCCUUUUUUUUUCCUCCUUCUUUUCACAGCGUGUUAAAAUCUAAUAAGAACAUUAAGCAAGGAGCUCGUGCCUUUUCCUGCGAGACAGACUGGCAGGCAGCGAGUGUGAAACUCCACAUUUCGCUUUAUUUCGACGCCCUCGGACAACAUGGACAGGAAGUGAAGCCAGCUCUGAGAAUAAUCUAAAGGCACCCGUGACAGUUUGUAACAUCAGAACUACCGUAAGCUGAAGUCUGAUUGGAGGAAUGGCGUGCCAAUCGACCCUGCACCAGUGAUCAGGGUAUGUGGCAGUCCUCCCACUAUAACUCUUCUCUUACUGCAUACAGUAAUGUGCCUGCUGUUUGUCUGUGAAGUGUCUUCAAAGCACUGUAAGAUGUGACUUUUCGGCUUACGUGUUUCAAGCCAUAACUGGUUUGAAACACAUCCCAACAGAAUAUCGUGACUUUUUUAGCAGUUUCACUGUUAGGCUUCACUGGCUACUAAGCAUGGAUGUGAAUGAUAGAGACACAAAUAGUUCUGGAGAGAGUUUACUGUUUUAGGGAAAAUAUCUAAUUUUAGUGACCAUUAUUGCAAUUAUUUUAAAUAAAUAAACUUCAGCUCUGCAUCUGUGAGGACUGGUCCCAGGCCUCUAAACUGCUGCCCUGCUUGUCCAGUUUUUGCCAGCAAUUUAAAAAAGGUCUGAGGCUGCUCUUGUAAGUGGCUGUUUUCCCAGAUGGAGAAUCAGGACAGUCAAUCAGGGGUACUUCACUACCCCCUAUUCCUGGAGGUCCCAAUUCAGACCUUUUAAAUGGAAACUCUUAAAACAAUGAUAUGAUAUUGUUUGAUUCAAGUAUGAAGGAUAAUAAUACAAAAGUUUAACCAUGAUUUGGGUAACAUUUUGAGGGUGAAGUUGUCAUUCUAGCUGCUCUGGCCAUUACAACAGUUUAAAAUGUCCUUGAAACAGUGAGGUGAUUAACUGAAUAAUAAUAGUUGACACCUGAUUUUUUUGAUGAAUUCAGAAAGAGUAUGAAAGCAUAAAAAUUCACAGCUUCCUAAAUAUUUGCUGGUUUUCAAAGUCUUCUGUGAAAGUAGCUUGAAUCUUUGUAUCUUUGGGUUUUGGAUUGCUGGUCAGACAAAACAUGACAUGUCCUUGAGCAUCAGAACUUGAUAAUGG
rnacentral:lncRNA from 1 species